rnacentral:rRNA from 1 species
UACGUAGGCAGCGAGCGUUGUUCGGAGUUACUGGGCGUAAAGGGUGUGUAGGCGGCGUCCUAAGUUUGGUGUGAAAUCUCCCGGCUCAACCGGGAGGGUGCGCCGAAAACUGGGAGGCUCGAGUGCGGGAGAGGAGAGUGGAAUUCCUGGUGUAGCGGUGAAAUGCGUAGAUAUCAGGAGGAACACCUGCGGUGUAGACGGCUCUCUGGACCGUGACUGACGCUGAGACACGAAAGCGUGGGGAGCAAACAGG